AAACAAUAAAAUAACAUAUUGUCUAAUAGAAGUAGAUAUUUUUGCUUUUCUUAUUGAGAUAUAAAAUGUAAGUACUUUAAAAUUUCCUUCCCUUAUUUGAACACUGUGUUUGAGCAAUUUUGCUGAAUUUUUCAAACAAGUUGUUUCAAAAACCAAGUGAGUAACUAACAUGGAAAUUGAAUCAAGCCCAGUGACUAAGAGCUAAGGCUAAUAUUGAGCUUGCAAAAGGAGUUUUUAAAAGCAGUUAGUUUUUUUCUGGGAUGCCUUUCCUGCAGAUGUCUCAGCCUGCUCACCCCAGUUAUGGAAAAAGUCUUACUGCUGACAGAGCCCUGGAAAGCUGGGAACUUACACGUAAAUGCAGUUAAGGUUAAAAUGAAAGGGGACUGAGAGGGUCUUACUGGUGAUGAAGUUGUUUUUGUUUUGAAGCAGUUUCUAGCCUUUGGAAUAUAAAACAAAGUUAGAUUU